rnacentral:rRNA from 1 species
AGAGUUUGAUCCUGGCUCAGAUUGAACGCUGGCGGCAGGCCUAACACAUGCAAGUCGAGCGGUAACAGAUCUAGCUUGCUAGAUGCUGACGAGCGGCGGACGAGUGAGUAAUGCAUAGGAAUCUGCCCGGUAGUGGGGGAUAACCUGGGGAAACCCAGGCUAAUACCGCAUACGUCCUACGGGAGAAAGGGGGCUUCGGCUCCCGCUAUCGGAUGAGCCUAUGUCGGAUUAGCUAGUUGGUGAGGUAACGGCUCACCAAGGCGACGAUCCGUAGCUGGUCUGAGAGGAUGAUCAGCCACAUCGGGACUGAGACACGGCCCGAACUCCUACGGGAGGCAGCAGUGGGGAAUAUUGGACAAUGGGGGGAACCCUGAUCCAGCCAUGCCGCGUGUGUGAAGAAGGCCUUCGGGUUGUAAAGCACUUUCAGCGAGGAAGAACGCCUAGUGGUUAAUACCCAUUAGGAAAGACAUCACUCGCAGAAGAAGCACCGGCUAACUCCGUGCCAGCAGCCGCGGUAAUACGGAGGGUGCAAGCGUUAAUCGGAAUUACUGGGCGUAAAGCGCGCGUAGGUGGCUUGAUAAGCCGGUUGUGAAAGCCCCGGGCUCAACCUGGGAACGGCAUCCGGAACUGUCAGGCUAGAGUGCAGGAGAGGAAGGUAGAAUUCCCGGUGUAGCGGUGAAAUGCGUAGAGAUCGGGAGGAAUACCAGUGGCGAAGGCGGCCUUCUGGACUGACACUGACACUGAGGUGCGAAAGCGUGGGUAGCAAACAGGAUUAGAUACCCUGGUAGUCCACGCCGUAAACGAUGUCGACCAGCCGUUGGGUGCCUAGAGCACUUUGUGGCGAAGUUAACGCGAUAAGUCGACCGCCUGGGGAGUACGGCCGCAAGGUUAAAACUCAAAUGAAUUGACGGGGGCCCGCACAAGCGGUGGAGCAUGUGGUUUAAUUCGAUGCAACGCGAAGAACCUUACCUACCCUUGACAUCUACAGAAGCCGGGAAGAGAUUCUGGUGUGCCUUCGGGAACUGUAGACAGGUGCUGCAUGGCUGU